AUUGAACGCUGGCGGCAGGCCUAACACAUGCAAGUCGAACGAGCGGCGGACGGGUGAGUAAUGUCUGGGAAACUGCCUGAUGGCGGGGGAUAACUACUGGAAACGGUAGCUAAUACCGCAUACCAUCAGAUGAACCCAUAUGGGAUUAGCUUGUUGGUGGGGUAACGGCUCACCAAGGCGACGAUCCCUAGCUGGUCUGAGAGGAUGACCAGCCACACUGGAACUGAGACACGGUCCAGACUCCUACGGGAGGCAGCAGUGGGGAAUAUUGCACAAUGGGCGCAAGCCUGAUGCAGCCAUGCCGCGUGUAUGAAGAAGGCCUUAGGGUUGUAAAGUACUUUCAGCGGGGAGGCGUUACCCGCAGAAGAAGCACCGGCUAACUCCGUGCCAGCAGCCGCGGUAAUAC
rnacentral:rRNA from 1 species